rnacentral:lncRNA from 1 species
UUGUAGGUGUCAAUCUCUUUGUCUCGUCGAGUACUACAACUUUCAUUUUUGUUUAACUUGAUUUCGUUGAGUAUCGAAGAAGUUAUGAGCGUUUGAAGUGGUACCCAAAAAUCAGCCAAUUCAUUGGCAUGAAAACGGGUCAAACCCAACCCACCAAUUUAGACCGGCCCAAUUCAUUGGGCCAUGGAACCCAGCCCUUUUAGCUAACCUAAACCCAUUAACCUUUUAUCCUAAGCCCAACCCACCUAGACCUAACCCUAGUCCAAAACCCUUAACCCGGAAUCCUUCCUAAACUAAUUUCGACAUCCUCAAUCCGUUUCCGACAUCCAUUUUCCCAAAUUCAAUUGUUAUAAUAUAUUUUUAUUAAUUGGACUCUUUAUGUGCUUAAGGGCAAUUGUUCGUGACGUUCGGUCUUCGCUAGUUUGCGUGGCUCUUUGGUGGCGAUGUAUCUGUGAGUGGACCCCUUCUAAAAUGCAUAUUUGAAUAGUAGGAAUGCAUACAUUAAAAGCAUGUUUUAAUGAUUACGUUUUAUAAGAUAACAUGCUUACUGAUGCUAGUUUGAAUUAUACAAUUUUUCUCUAUAACCCAUGGUCUUUUUAGGAUAUCUGAUGGAUGACAAUAUAAUAUUUGGAACAUGUUUUCGAACACCUCUUUAUAGUAUAGAUGAUGGAUGACUUUAUACUAUGAAGUUGAUUUUGAGAUAUAUAUAUAUGUGUGUGUGUGUGUGUGUGUGUGUGUGUUCAAUGGUUUUGUACUUACCUAGUGGUCCCUAUUCCGCCUACGGGUGAGGUUACGGUGUUGGCAUAGGGUCGAGAGAAAUAAUCUCUAGCUACGGGCUGAGAGACACGAAAUGGCAUAGGGCCUGAAGAAAUUUCCUCUGGUUACGGCGCAGGGAUGGGAAGCGGGCAUAGGGCCUAGUGUAACAUCCCACAUUGCCCAGGGGAGUGAAUCAUCUAAGCCUUAUAUGUAUAUUCCCAUCUCUACCUAGCACGAAGCUUUUUGGGAGCUCACUGGCUUCGAGUUCCAUCGGAACUUCAAAGUUAAGCGAGUUUGCGCGAGACUAAUCCCAAGAUGGGUGACCCACUGGGAAGUUCUUGUGUGAGUUCCCAGAAAUAAAACCAUGAGGGCGUGGUCGGGGCCCAAAGGGGACAAUAUCAUGCUAUGGUGGAGUCAAGCCCGGGAUGUGGUGGGGGCUCGGGCCGGGAUGUGACAAUUUGGUAUCAAAGCCAAUCCCUGGCCAGAAGUGUGCCGAUGAGGACAUUGGGCCCUUAAAGGGGGUGGAUUGUAACAUCCCACAUCACAUAGGGGUGUGAAUCCUCUAAGCCUUAUAUGUAUAUUCCCAUCUUUACCUAGCACGAGGCCUUUUGGGAGCUCACUGGCUUUGAGUUCCAUCGGAACUUCGAAGUUAAGCAAGUUCACGCGAGAGCAAUCCCAGGAUGGGUGACCCACUGGGAAGUUCUUGUGUGAGUUCCCAGAAACAAAACCGUGAGGGCGUGGUCGGGGCCCAAAGGGGACAAUAUCGUGCUACGGUGGAGUCGAGCCCGGGAUAUGGUGGGGGCCCAGGCCGGGAUAUGACACCUAGAUUUAAGACUGGACAUAUACACUAGCGAUUAUGCCUUAUAUACGAGAUAUGCUUUAUGAGAUGUUUUAUGGCAUGCUAGGGUUUCGGAAAACUUAUCACUUAUUAUGCUAUUAGUUUUCAUAAAACUUUGGGGGUUAGUAUGUUGAUAAUUAUUUUAUUAUAUAUAUAUAUCAACUUGGUCCACUCAUGUUUGUUUUACGUCCCCUUUAGGACUUAGAAUCAAGGCCUACAAUCUCAGCAUCAAGGCACUUCUGCAUCGGUAUCUUUGAGUCCUCUCGGUGUAUGACCCAUUCUGUAACAUCUCACAUCAAUCAACAGAGAGGGGGUGAUGUGCCUUAUAUGUACAUGCCCACCUCCAUAUAGCACAAGGCCUUUUGGGAACUCAUUGGCUUUGGAUUCCAUCAGAACUCUGAAGUUAAGCAAGUUCGGGUGAAAGCAAUCCCAGGAUGGGUGACCCACUGGGAAGUUCUCGUCUGAGUUCCCAGAAACAAAUCUGUGAAGGAAUGGUAAGCCCAAAACAGACAAUAUCGUGCUACGGCGGAGUCGAGACUAGGAUGUGACACAUUCCUUGUUCAUUCAAUUUUUAUAUUAAUUCUUUUAGUGCUCUAGAUUAGAUGUGUGCUCUGAACACAUUCCUUUUUUGUAUAUUAAUUAUAUUUUAAUUUAUAAGUCUUAUUUAUUCUUAUCCUCAUGCAUUAUAAAUGGCUUGCGUCACCUUCGGGUGUCGGCCAGCACGUGACUAUCCUGGUGUUCAGGGAAUAUCGAGAUCGGGGCAUGUCAGUGCGUAUAUUAUGUUGAUUUGAGUCUUAAUUUAUGAAUAUUUUAGGAGUUAUAUUUUAGGUAGGAUUUUGAUUGGUAAUUGAUUGUAGAGUUAAUCUCAGUUUACUACCUUGAAGUUUCUUGAUUUUCAACCUUUGAUACAUGAAGUUUUUUUUUUUGUCCCAAUUUGGUAACUAAAGUCAUAAUUCUAGGACACUUUCAUACAUCCGUUAAAUUUUCCAUCAGAACCUCUAUUAAAUGAUGAUGUGGCGCUUACAUAAACAAUGACUGAGCACCACGUGUCAAUAUGGCCCCACGUGGAUAUUAAAAAUUAAAAAAAAAAAAAAAUCUUUCCUGGGCAUCCUACCUCACCCUUCCCGACCCCCUCAUUCCUUCUCCCUCCCUUCUCUCCUCUGCACCCACCCAACCUCUAUACCGUACCCACUCCUACCCUCUUCACCUCUCUUCCCUUCUUUGUCAUCCACCCAUUUUGCCCAAUUCCUCCCAUCAGAUCGUCGCCAUAUUCGAAACCCCCAAACCCGUUGCCGUCACCAUAGCCUCCAAGAUCAAGACCGUUCAGCGGUUGAGACUAUGAUUCGUUAUCUCUGAAAAGUUGAUCCACUAUUGGCUCCGUUGAUCCAUCGCCACCCGCAACUGACCUUCGAUAACACUUAC